rnacentral:rRNA from 1 species
GACGAACGCUGGCGGCGUGCUUAACACAUGCAAGUCGAACGGUGAAGCGUCUUCCUUUUUGGUGGGUGUGGAUGAGUGGCGAACGGGUGAGUAACACGUGAGUAACCUGCCCCCUUCUUCUGGAUAACCGCAUGAAAGUGUGGCUAAUACGGGAUAUUCUGGGUCUGUCGCAUGAUGGGUCUGGGAAAGAUAUUGUUUCGGUGGGGGAUGGGCUCGCGGCCUAUCAGCUUGUUGGUGGGGUGAUGGCCUACCAAGGCGGUGACGGGUAGCCGGCCUGAGAGGGUGGACGGUCACACUGGGACUGAGACACGGCCCAGACUCCUACGGGAGGCAGCAGUGGGGAAUAGUGCACAAUGGGCGCAAGCCUGAUGCAGCGACGCCGCGUGAGGGAUGGAGGCCUUCGGGUUGUGAACCUCUUUCGCCAGUGAAGCAGGCCUGCCUCGUUUGUGGGUGGGUUGACGGUAGCUGGAUAAGAAGCGCCGGCUAACUACGUG